UCGGUGGAUCACUCGGCUCGUGUGUCGAUGAAGAGCGCAGCUAACUGUGUGAAUUAAUGUGAUCUGCAUACUGCCUUGAACAUCGACAUCUUGAACGCACCUUGCGGCCAUGGGUUAGCCUAUGGCCACGCCUGUCCGAGGGUCGGCUUAUAAACUAUCACGACGCCCCUAAAGUCGUGGCUUGGGUCUUGCCAACUGGCGUGAUUUCCUCAGCCUCCAGUAAUGGUGGUGUUGGGGUGCCGGGUCUAUGGCUUCUCCCUAAUGUGUCCGGACAUCCAUGCGCAACAUGUGAUGGCGGAGUCGUGGCUAAAUGGUGUUUGCGCGCGCUCCGAUCACUGGCAUGGUCCCUGUCUGUUACUGGGUGUGUGGCGCUCACGUGCUUCAUAGCCCAUUUACCUGA
rnacentral:rRNA from 1 species